AACAAUUGUUUUUGGUUGGGCCCUAUUGCAAGAUGAGACUUCAGACACUUUUGAAUGGCUCUUUCAAAAUUUUAUGGAGGUAAUGCAGUGGAAGAAACCAAGAAUAAUAUUGACAGACCAAUAUGCAGGGAUGAAAGCUGCUAUUCCUAAAGUAUUUCCAGAUGCUAGACAUAGGUUCUAUCUUUGGCAUAUAUUUAAGAAUGUUAGGGAAAAUAUGAGUGCUUUUAUGGUACCAGGGAAAAAAUGGAGAAAAAUAUGAUGAAGUGCUUGUUGCAGGCCAUUACUGUUGAGGAACUCGAAGAAAGAUGGGAGAAAUUUGUUGUGAAGUAUGAGUGUGCUGGGCAUGCUCACAUCAAAGGGGUGUGGGAGAACCAGAUCUUUUUUGUUCCAGAUUAGUUCCAAGGAUUGUUUUGCCCUUUCAUUAGGUCAACCAGCCGUAGUGAAAGUUUCAACUCAAAUUUCAAAGACUAUAUCAGGAGGAAAGAUACUAUAGAGGCAUUCAUGAAACAAUACGUGCUAUUCCAAGAAAAUGUUGUUCACAUUGAAAACCAAGACAGAUUCUUGUCAAAUGAGAAGAGUCCUAUGUUUUGGAGUCAUCAAGCUAUUGAACGGCAUGCAGCAGCAAUAUAUACCCGAGAAAUUUACUUGAAGUUUCUGACAGAAUUAGUGAAUGUGACAGCUUUUAAAGUUAUAGAAGUUGAGAAGGAGAUAGUGUAUGACUUUAAGAAGCACAUAUGGUAUGAAAAACGAGAAUUCACAAGAGAAAUGCUCAGGGUUAAUGUUGACCUUGCUACUGGGUCAUUUCAAUGUUGUUGUGGGAAAUUUGAGCGUGAUGGUAUUGUUUGCUGCCACAUCCUCAGAUUCUUUACACAGUUUGACAUUACCCAUAUUCCAGAUAAAUUAAUAGUUGACAGGUGGACUAUUUCUUUCCGAGAAAAGGAACUAGAGAAGUUCAAGAAAGAUAAUGUGUUGUUUGGAGGUGAUGAUCAAUCACAUAAUGUUGUUAGGUAUGCUAUCCUAAUGAGUAAAGUUGGGGAUGCUUGCUCGGACAUCAGCAAAGAUUCUGAGCUUAGUAAAGAACUCCAUUGUAACGCCCUCGAUGCGGCUAUAUCUCCCACGUGUCGAAGCACGACUUAGAGGCAUAACCGCAUUGAAAGCAAUGUCGCAAGUGAGGUAAUCUUCACACAACCCAUGUAAUACAUAAGGGAAAGAGAUACAUAGUUGGCUUACAAUCGCCACUUCACACAAUUACAUGAAUAAACCAUUACAUCAUCCAGAUACAAUCAAGGUCCGACUACGGAACCAAAAUAAAAGAAGAACCCCAAAUGCGACAAAGGUCCCUGAUCGACCCCAACUGGGCUCCACUACUGAUCAACUAGAACGAAACAACACAAAGGGCAAGAUCUUCAUCGAGCUCCUCCUUGAGCUUGGUUGCGUCAUCUGCACGGUAACAUAGGCACCUGCAAACUGGUUUUGGAAGUAUCUGUGAGCCACGGGGACUCAGCAAUCUCGCACCCGCGAGAUCAAGACUAUUUAAGCUUAUGGGUAAGGUAAAGGUAUGAGGUGGAGCUGCAGCAAGCGACUAGCAUAUAUGGUGGCUAACAUACGCAAAUGAGAGCGAGAAGAGAAGGCAAAGCACGGUCGAUAAAAGUAUGAUCAAGAAGUGAUUCUGAAACUACUUACGUCAAACAUAACUCCAACAACCGUGUUCACUUCCCGGACUCCGCCGGAAAGAGACCAUCACGGUUACACACGCGGUUGAUGUAUUUUAAUUAAGGUCAACUUUGGGUUUUCUACAACCGGACGUUAACAAAUUCCCAUCUGCCCAUAACCGCAGGCACGGCUUUCGAAAGUUCAAAUCCCUGCAGGGGUGUCCCAACUUAGCCCAUGACAAGCUCUCACGGUCAACGAAGGAAUAGACCUCCACCCGAGACGUUCCGAUCAGACUCGGUAUCCCGGUACAACAAGACAUUUCGACAGGGUAAAACUAAACCAGCAACACCGCCCGAAUGUGCCGACAAAUCCCGAUAGGAGCUGCACAUAUCUCUUUCUCAGGGCACACUCAGAUUGUCCAAGGUACGGGUAGGCCAACCCAGAGUUGCCCCUGGUGGCCACCGGCAGCUGACAGGUUGGACCAACACUCAGAGGAGCACUGGCCCGGGGGGGGGGGUAAAAUAAGAUGACCCUUGAGUCUGCAGAACCCAAGGGAAAGAAAAGGCUAGGUGGCAAAUGGUAAAACCAAGGUUGGGCAUUGCUGGAAGAGCUUUACUUAAGGCGAACUGUCAAGGGGUUCCCAUUAUAGCCCAACCGCGUAAGGGACGCAAAAUCCGGGAACAUAACACCGAUAUGACGGAAACUAGGGCGGCAAGAGUGGAACAAAACACCAGGCAUAAGGCCGAGCCUUCCACCCUUUACCAAGUAUAUAGAUGCAUUAAUUAAAUAAGAUAUAUUGUGAUAUCCCAACAAGUAAACAUGUUCCAACAAGGAACAACAUCUCCAUGUUCCAACAAGGAACAAACUUCAAUCUUCACCUGCAACUAACAACGCUAUAAGAGGGGCUGAGCAAAGCGGUAACAUAGCCAAUCAACGGUUUGCUAGGACAUGGUGGGUUAGAGGUUUGACAUGGCAAUUUGGGAGGCUGACAAGCAAAUGGUAGGCAUCGUAGCAUUGGCAUAGCAAAAGAGCGAGCAAACUAGCAUAGCAAAGAUAGUAGUGAUUUCGGCAGACGAACUCCUCUGCGGUAGACGAACUCCUCUGCAACUGCGGCUGAUGACGACGCAGAGGAGAGCUUGGGGUUGGGGACGAGCUAGCAGGCCGGUGGCGAGGUCGCCGGCAGCAGAGGCUGCGACGCGGCCGGGCUCGGGCGCUGCGUGCGUGGUGGAGCAGAGGGGGACGCGGGGCUGCUGAGAAGCAGAGGCCGGCGGUGGCGUCAGGUAGACGAGGAGGCGGGGACGAGGGCCGAUGAGGGCGCGCGACGGAGCUCAGCGGGCGUGCUCCGAUGGAGGUACUUGAACGGGGCGGCGGAGCAUGGGCAGGGGCCGACCGGAUCUGGAGCUUGAGGCGGCGGCGCUGGAGGUCCGGCCGACGCCACGAACAAAGCGGCGGCUGCUAGCGAUGGGGUCGAGCGAGGGAGAAGGUGGCGCGAGGGAGGAGAUGGGGAUCGGGGCGAGGAGCGAUGGGGCGCAGAGGUGGGAGAUGGAGGCGCUGCGGGAGGGAGAUGGGAUCGGGAGAAGGGUGCGGCUAGGGUUAGAAGGCAGGGGCCGGCUGGGCCUUGGGAUGCGGAUGGAGCAGGCUUGGCCUGGCUGCUGGGCUGCAGGGCUCCUUCUCUCUCUCUAUCUCUAAUUCUCUUAUCAAAACAGAAAAUAAAGAGAAAGAAAAAGGGAAGAAAAGAAAGGUUAGAGAAAGAGUUGGGCACGGGGAUAAUUUUCCCGGACUCGCAAAAAUGCGCUUGUACCAAGAAAAAUGGAGUGGGCAAGAUUGCAAGAAUUAAAUUCAAAGUCAUUUGAAUUUAAUUCAAAUGAUCUGAACAAGGACUAGGAUUUAGAAGUGUCCAAAAAUGUUCGGAUUUUUGGUGGAGCUCCGAAAAAUGACGAAAGAAAUUAUGGCAAUGUUGGAGACCAAGGAUUGAGAUAACAAAGGCAUUGGGAUAUUUUGUAAGUGUGUUUGCGGUAAAUCCAAAUAAUUGAAAUAUUUACUAUAGCUCUCUAAAUAUUGAGAGGAUAUGUUUUAAAGAGAAUCACCAUGUGAAUUCCCUCGAUUUAAAUAGAUCAAAAGAUCUAUGCAUUUUAUUUAGUUGAGUUUUUUUAAAAAAAAAGACAUGAUGGCAUGAUGCAAUGCAAAUGAUGCAACAAACAAAACAAAUCACACGACGAAACUCGGAGUAGCUGGAAGUCUUCUGGAGCGUCGGUCUCGGGGCGUUACAACACUCCACCACUACGAGAGGAUCUCGUCCCGAGAUCUAGAAUGGCACCGGAGGGAAACGGAAGAGGAAGAGAAGAGGUAAAACUAAGUUGCUUCUUCGACCAAUGAGUGAAACCAAAGAACCUUGAGAGGUUGAGCAAUUUAAAAGAAAGAGCACAACUGAGAAGAACGAGAUUGCAAACAAUCCGUUAGAAAAAAAAAGGAACAAGGAACAUUACGAGAACUUGAAGGUUGCAAAGACAUGAAUCAAGAGUUUAAUGGACAAGAUAGAAUUCGAAACCACUCCAGUUAAAACAAGAUGAGAGAGAAAGAAUUUGGGCAGCACUCCGGUUGAAGAUGGAAGGAAAAGAACAUGAAUUUGGCAAAAUGAAAGCACUUGGAUGAGACUCCGGUUAAAUGGAUAAGCAAGGAAAAGAACACGAUCCUCACAAUUCGAGAUGAUGAGUGAAAAGCACAACAUCACAAUGCCUCCGGAACGAAAGAAUAGAAGUUAGAUUGUUGGGAUAAAGGGACGGAGAAGGAAAUGUCAACUCCUACCACAAUUUAAUUUGGAAAGCAUCCUUGCAGGAAGGUUAGAACAAAGUUGUUGGAAGACCAACAACGAAAAGAAUAAGUUUGUAGUGGGCUUAUGGAACACAUCUCAAAACUAUGAGGUGAAAUUCUGCCACUAAUGGAAACGAUAUAUUAGAUUGAUAACAACAAGGAGAUGAGAAGCUUAAUUCGCCGGGAGGAUAGAAGAAUAACUUGGGUCAUUUAUUACCAACAUAGAUAGCAACAAGCCAUAGGGAAGGCUUUUAGGUGAAAUAUGACACAAGAUAACUCCAACAACGAGGUUGAUGGAUUUAAAAAUAACUCAUUCUUAACAACAUGUGAAUCAUGGAAAACAUGAACUCAAAUUAUUAAGAAUGACAUAAUACCACCUCCAAAAUAUGGUAGAAAGAAUUGCACUCAGGAUUACCAUAUGAAGAAAGCUUGAGCUCCUUAGGAAAGAAUCUCGAUGAAAACUUUGAGAAGGGAAUUAAAUCCUUGAUGAACCAUCAUGUAGAACCUCCAUGAAGAACUCCGGUAAACAAAAGGAAUGAAAAGAAAGAGAAAUUGAAAACACAAGGUGAAUCCUUGCAAUGAUUUAGAUGGAUCUCCGUGAUAAUUAAAGCUUGGAACUCCGGGAAAAAGAGAAGAUGAAACAAAUGAAACCGAUAAUUUUAAGGGCCUCCGGAAUAAAGAAUUAAUCACUUGGAUGAACAAGAAUAAGAAUUAUGUUAUGCUUAUCCUUCACCAAUUAAAUUGAUGACAAUCAACGGAUUUGGCAUACUACUUAUUCUCGUAGAAAGGAUUAAAAGAGAUAUAGCGUAAACUUGAGAAGGUCUUCAACGAACCACCGGUAGAAUUGGAACAACAAAUGAAUUGAUAUGAUGAACAAGGAAGAGAGAUCUUGAAAGAACCACCGUAAGAAUUGAAAAUGAUCGAAGUAGUGGUGCAUCACCGAUAAGAAUUAGCAAAUGAACGAAGGUGCUUGAGACAAACUAGAUACAUGAGAACAAAGAGAUCAAGAACUGAUUAGAGGAUAUUCGAUAGAUGCACCGGCAAGAUAGGAGAAUGACAACUGACGGCUGAGAAUGAAUAAACCUGAAUUGAUGGACUCCGGAUGACAAACUGAGAAGACUCUUGAAUAUCUCCUGAUGGGUGAAAAAAAAGAUUCUCACAAUCGAAAACAAUUAUGAGAGGAUGGCAACAAGCUAGCACCAUGAAUCUUGAAGAGAAUAGAGCAAGAUUAAAGAGAAACUCUUCUUCGGUCUUCAAAUGAUGAGAAUGACAACGAGAAACACCACCAAGAAUUAUUGAGGCACACCGGAAUAAAGAAUGGAAAAGUUGAGCCAACGAUGAUAAGAAUUUGAAAGAUCUUGGAGAAAAACAUUUGACUGAUGACAACUCAUUCUUACGUCAAACUUGGAGAAGAAUUUAGGAUAGCUCUGGGAAAAUAGAAGAGUCAGGUAAGAUCCUGGGAAAAGACCUGUGGGUUAGGGCCCACUCAAAAGAAGCACCGAUGAAAAGAUUUAAAAGAGAUGUUGCACCGGUUGAAUUAAAUGACUUGAAUGAGAUACCAAUCUCGAAAGAGCUUGAACUAAUGCAGAGUGGAAACACAAAUCUUCGAGAUAUCUUGAGUACUCCGGAACAAUUUAAUAGCGAGAGAUGGAUGAUUAAGAGGUGCACCGGCAUAAGAAAAGCAUUGGAAAAAAANNNNNNNNNNNNNNNNNNNNNNNNNNNNNNNNNNNNNNNNNNNNNNNNNNNNNNNNNNNNNNNNNNNNNNNNNNNNNNNNNNNNNNNNNNNNNNNNNNNNNNNNNNNNNNNNNNNNNNNNNNNNNNNNNNNNNNNNNNNNNNNNNNNNNNNNNNNNNNNNNNNNNNNNNNNNNNNNNNNNNNNNNNNNNNNNNNNNNNNNNNNNNNNNNNNNNNNNNNNNNNNNNNNNNNNNNNNNNNNNNNNNNNNNNNNNNNNNNNNNNNNNNNNNNNNNNNNNNNNNNNNNNNNNNNNNNNNNNNNNNNNNNNNNNNNNNNNNNNNNNNNNNNNNNNNNNNNNNNNNNNNNNNNNNNNNNNNNNNNNNNNNNNNNNNNNNNNNNNNNNNNNNNNNNNNNNNNNNNNNNNNNNNNNNNNNNNNNNNNNNNNNNNNNNNNNNNNNNNNNNNNNNNNNNNNNNNNNNNNNNNNNNNNNNNNNNNNNNNNNNNNNNNNNNNNNNNNNNNNNNNNNNNNNNNNNNNNNNNNNNNNNNNNNNNNNNNNNNNNNNNNNNNNNNNNNNNNNNNNNNNNNNNNNNNNNNNNNNNNNNNNNNNNNNNNNNNNNNNNAUGCCUUACCAGAGCGAUGAGGAGACUGGGAAGUAAAAAGAAUUCCUAAACUCUCCGAUAUAUAAUUCCUAAAUGACUCAAAACAUUUUUCUAGACACAACUCGGCCGCUAAAAACGAUCAAGCAGUGGGGCUCCUAAGGUCGGGGAAGGCUCUGAUACCAACUUGUAACGCCCUCGAUGCGGCUAUAUCUCCCACGUGUCGAAGCACGACUUAGAGGCAUAACCGCAUUGAAAGCAAUGUCGCAAGUGAGGUAAUCUUCACACAACCCAUGUAAUACAUAAGGGAAAGAGAUACAUAGUUGGCUUACAAUCGCCACUUCACACAAUUACAUGAAUAAAGCAUUACAUCAUCCAGAUACAAUCAAGGUCCGACUACGGAACCAAAAUAAAAGAAGAACCCCAAAUGCGACAAAGGUCCCUAAUCGACCCCAACUGGGCUCCACUACUGAUCAACUAGAACGAAACAACACAAAGGGCAAGAUCUUCAUCGAGCUCCUCCUUGAGCUUGGUUGCGUCAUCUGCACGGUAACAUAGGCACCUGCAAACUGGUUUUGGAAGUAUCUGUGAGCCACGGGGACUCAGCAAUCUCGCACCCGCGAGAUCAAGACUAUUUAAGCUUAUGGGUAAGGUAAAGGUAUGAGGUGGAGCUGCAGCAAGCGACUAGCAUAUAUGGUGGCUAACAUACGCAAAUGAGAGCGAGAAGAGAAGGCAAAGCACGGUCGAUAAAAGUAUGAUCAAGAAGUGAUCCUGAAACUACUUACGUCAAACAUAACUUCAACAACCGUGUUCACUUCCCGGACUCCGCCGGAAAGAGACCAUCACGGUUACACACGCGGUUGAUGUAUUUUAAUUAAGGUCAACUUCGGGUUUUCUACAACCGGACGUUAACAAAUUCCCAUCUGCCCAUAACCGCGGGCACGGCUUUCGAAAGUUCAAAUCCCUGCAGGGGUGUCCCAACUUAGCCCAUGACAAGCUCUCACGGUCAACGAAGGAAUAGACCUCCACCCGAGACGUUCCGAUCAGACUCGGUAUCCCGGUACAACAAGACAUUUCGACAGGGUAAAACUAAACCAGCAACACCGCCCGAAUGUGCCGACAAAUCCCGAUAGGAGCUGCACAUAUCUCUUUCUCAGGGCACACUCAGAUUGUCCAAGGUACGGGUAGGCCAACCCAGAGUUGCCCCUGGUGGCCACCGGCAGCUGACAGGUUGGACCAACACUCAGNNNNNNNNNNCUUGAGACAAACUAGAUACAUGAGAACAAAGAGAUCAAGAACUGAUUAGAGGAUAUUCGAUAGAUGCACCGGCAAGAUAGGAGAAUGACAACUGACGGCUGAGAAUGAAUAAACCUGAAUUGAUGGACUCCGGAUGACAAACUGAGAAGACUCUUGAAUAUCUCCUGAUGGGUGAAAAAAAAGAUUCUCACAAUCGAAAACAAUUAUGAGAGGAUGGCAACAAGCUAGCACCAUGAAUCUUGAAGAGAAUAGAGCAAGAUUAAAGAGAAACUCUUCUUCGGUCUUCAAAUGAUGAGAAUGACAACGAGAAACACCACCAAGAAUUAUUGAGGCACACCGGAAUAAAGAAUGGAAAAGUUGAGCCAACGAUGAUAAGAAUUUGAAAGAUCUUGGAGAAAAACAUUUGACUGAUGACAACUCAUUCUUACGUCAAACUUGGAGAAGAAUUUAGGAUAGCUCUGGGAAAAUAGAAGAGUCAGGUAAGAUCCUGGGAAAAGACCUGUGGGUUAGGGCCCACUCAAAAGAAGCACCGAUGAAAAGAUUUAAAAGAGAUGUUGCACCGGUUGAAUUAAAUGACUUGAAUGAGAUACCAAUCUCGAAAGAGCUUGAACUAAUGCAGAGUGGAAACACAAAUCUUCGAGAUAUCUUGAGUACUCCGGAACAAUUUAAUAGCGAGAGAUGGAUGAUUAAGAGGUGCACCGGCAUAAGAAAAGCAUUGGAAAAAAAGAAAAGGAGUAUGCUUAAUACCAAAGCUUGAAUUAAAUCCAUCGGAGAAGAAAAGAACGAGGAAUGAUGAACUUGAAGCUCCAUUAGAAUCUUCAUGAGAAUCACCGGAUAAGAACAUUGACGGAAAAGAAUGGAGAAACUUCCCAUCAAUAAAAUGGAUACUUGAAUAAGAAUCUGGGUCCUUGGAGAAAAACAAAGGGAGGGAGGGUGGGAAAAACAAAGGCAACUUGGAGAUGGAUGACACAAACAGUGUUGAGAAGAAGUGAUAAAUGAUCUUGCAAAAGUUGACGUGAACGGAUCCACUUGAGGAGAGACACACCGGUUAAAAAAAGGAUUGACAAGACAGACUCGAUGAUCAAGAAGGAUUAGUAUUCACAUAGGAAUAUGAGAACACCAUUUGGAAAAGGUAUGGAAUCAACAUUUGACUUCGAAGCAACUCGAAUACCACAACUCAAAACAAAACAAAGGAUUGGCUUGCAAAAUAACAAACAUAUGAUAGAGAUUUCGUCCGAAGUUUUCGUGUGGGGCCUACACGGGCUCGAUCGUACAGCACCAUCAUGUACAAGGCAGUGCACAUGACAUACGAAGCGUCCCCGAGUCGGCAUAGCCAAGGACUCUUUAAGACACAACGAGACCACUGUAAAACCAACCGUGAAUAGGCGGACCACUAGACGUCGAACCCCAAUUUCAUAUCAUACAUUCGUCAGAAAGAUAUCCUAAGAGCUACUUGAAUUCCCACGUAUGAAACUCCCGAAAUUUUCAGGUUAUGCAAUCAGGUGUUGGGGAUACAGGGGAAGCAUAAUAUCUCACCCAAAACUAACAAAUCCUACAUCCAGCUGUAUCCAUCCUUCAACACAUAACCAAGAAACCUUCGGAAAUCAUCUACCUCAACCUUCGAAAAGCAUCCGUUAUACAAGUCAUGGCAAUACUCCCGUACUCACCUCAGUACUGGGUUAUCGGGGUUAUCUCACCAACAACUGCAUAAAAGAGAUUUUCGAUGUCGGCGUACUAAACUCAGGUAUUCCAGAACUGCAACGAUAAAAUUAUGACGACAACACCUCAGAGCUCAACUCCCCGGGACACUUCCACUAAACCCCUGACAGGAGGCACCAAGACAAUGUUCUCAUCAUAAAACCAUCGGAACGAUUCCAAGAUACCCGCGUGAUCCUAAAAAAAAUUUAGUGAAAUUUGAGAAGAGAAGAGUCAAAACUCUAUGUCAGUAUGCCUUACCAGAGCGAUGAGGAGACUGGGAAGUAAAAAGAAUUCCUAAACUCUCCGAUAUAUAAUUCCUAAAUGACUCAAAACAUUUUUCUAGACACAACUCGGCCGCUAAAAACGAUCAAGCAGUGGGGCUCCUAAGGUCGGGGAAGGCUCUGAUACCAACUUGUAACGCCCUCGAUGCGGCUAUAUCUCCCACGUGUCGAAGCACGACUUAGAGGCAUAACCGCAUUGAAAGCAAUGUCGCAAGUGAGGUAAUCUUCACACAACCCAUGUAAUACAUAAGGGAAAGAGAUACAUAGUUGGCUUACAAUCGCCACUUCACACAAUUACAUGAAUAAAGCAUUACAUCAUCCAGAUACAAUCAAGGUCCGACUACGGAACCAAAAUAAAAGAAGAACCCCAAAUGCGACAAAGGUCCCUAAUCGACCCCAACUGGGCUCCACUACUGAUCAACUAGAACGAAACAACACAAAGGGCAAGAUCUUCAUCGAGCUCCUCCUUGAGCUUGGUUGCGUCANNNNNNNNNNAACCGCGUAAGGGACGCAAAAUCCGGGAACAUAACACCGAUAUGACGGAAACUAGGGCGGCAAGAGUGGAACAAAACACCAGGCAUAAGGCCGAGCCUUCCACCCUUUACCAAGUAUAUAGAUGCAUUAAUUAAAUAAGAUAUAUUGUGAUAUCCCAACAAGUAAACAUGUUCCAACAAGGAACAACAUCUCCAUGUUCCAACAAGGAACAAACUUCAAUCUUCACCUGCAACUAACAACGCUAUAAGAGGGGCUGAGCAAAGCGGUAACAUAGCCAAUCAACGGUUUGCUAGGACAUGGUGGGUUAGAGGUUUGACAUGGCAAUUUGGGAGGCUGACAAGCAAAUGGUAGGCAUCGUAGCAUUGGCAUAGCAAAAGAGCGAGCAAACUAGCAUAGCAAAGAUAGUAGUGAUUUCGAGGGUAUGAUCAUCUUGCCUGAAAUCCCGCAAGGAAGAAGAACGAGUCCAAGAAGAAGACAAUCGGACGAAGUCGAACGAAUCCUCACAACUCCGGAACGAAACCGAAGCUAACGAGAGAAGCAACCCGGAAAGAAACAAACAACAUAGUAAACAAACAAGCAUAAACAAGUCAUGAUGCACAAACAAGUAUGAUGCAUGUCCGGUUUAAUGAGGCAUGGCAUGGCAAAGUGCACAAACAAUCCUACAAAUUAAAUGGAGCUCAAUAUGCAACUGCAUAUUGACGAAACACCACGAUAAGUUAUUUAGUUUGAUCCCGUUUAUGUACCCAACAAUAUUAAAUGUUGUUAAACAUGGCAAGAGGUGAAGCAUAAUAUAAACUAUACCAUCUAAACAAUUUAAAUGGGGCCGGAUAUAAAAAAACAACAAAUCCGGUAAAUCCCCAUAUGCAUUUAGCAAUUUAAUGCAACAACAAGUUUAAACAUUUUAAAUGUUGUUAUCAUGAUGCGGAUGACAUAUACAAGUUUUAAGCAAUUUUAUGAAAAUGUUGACAUGAGCAAGAUACGAGGCAUUUGGUCACCAUGGCGGAAUGAAAAGGGUGCCACGGCGGCGAGACAAAAAUGGUGCCACGGCAACAUUCCGGUCUCGGUAACUCAUGGAGAUACCGGUGCAAAAGGAAGUGAGCGGAUGCGUGUCGUGCAAGGAUGGUGGGGUGAUCCCGACUACCGGGUGUCCCACCGGAUAGUGGCAUGGAAACGAGGAACGUGCACGAAACAAACGGGCACGGUGCAAACAUAUCGUACAUCUCAUACAACACAUGCAUUCGAUCACGAUCGGUCAUCUCAGGGUUAUACCUUCGAAGCGUGCAUUCGGGGCGGAACGCGUUCGGUACGAUGUAGAGGAAGUAGACGUUCUCGUAGCGGUCGUAGAGGAAGUAGUUGUUCACGUGUCGUCGUGGGAAGUAGUCGUACACAUGCCGUAGUGGAAGUAGUGGUUCACGGCGACGGUAGUGGUAGCAGUUGUUCAUGUCCCGUAGAUGAAUCGGGGUCCACGGGGUCUUCGAGGGUCGACGGUAGUCGUACACGGCAACCAUAGUUGAACUUGUAGGGCCGACGAUGUCGUGGUACUUGGUGCAAUGCACGGGAUGGUAGUCCAACAAUUGUCGGAGAGGGACUUGACGCAUCAAAAGUCUUCGGUGCCACGGUACUUAGCGAUUCCAGGAUGUCGUAGCCGUGUAGUCGUUCAUGUAUCACUGUGGUGUAGUCGUACUUGGCGUCCGCAGCAACAUAUCCAUGAUGGCCAAACAAACCAAUAGCGACCGAAGCAGCAGGGUGCGAUUGGGUGGUUUGGUUAACGCGCAGGGGUAGCGUGUGUUCGAUCUCCGCCUGAACAAAGACGGCGUGGAGGCAGGAGGGCAACGGCAGCGCCGCAAGCUCUGAUGAUGCAGCACGACGGGGAGGCGCAGGGACGGCUGGGGUGGACGGAUCGGCCUCGGGACGCCGGAUCCUGGCUGGUGGCGAAACUCCAUGGCGGCAGACGAACUCCUCUGCAACUGCGGCUGAUGACGACGCAGAGGAGAGCUUGGGGUUGGGGACGAGCUAGCAGGCCGGUGGCGAGGUCGCCGGCAGCACAGGCUGUGACGCGGCCGGGCUCGGGCGCUGCGUGCGUGGUGGAGCAGAGGGGGACGCGGGGCUGCUGAGAAGCAGAGGCCAGCGGCGGCAUCAGGUAGACGAGGAGGCGGGGACGAGGGCCGAUGAGGGCGCGCGACGGAGCUCAGCGGGCGUGCUCCGAUGGAGGUACUUGAACGGGGCGGCGGAGCAUGGGCAGGGGCCGACCGGAUCUGGAGCUUGAGGCGGCGGCGCUGGAGGUCCGGCCGACGCCACGAACAAAGCGGCGGCUGCUAGCGAUGGGGUCGAGCGAGGGAGAAGGUGGCGCGAGGGAGGAGAUGGGGAUCGGGACGAGGAGCGAUGGGGCGCAGAGGUGUGAGAUGGAGGCGCUGCGGGAGGGAGAUGGGAUCGGGAGAAGGGUGCGGCUAGGGUUAGAAGGCAGGGGCCGGCUGGGCCUUGGGAUGCGGAUGGAGCAGGCUUGGCCUAGCUGCUGGGCUGCAGGGCUCCUUCUCUCUCUCUAUCUCUAAUUCUCUUAUCAAAACAGAAAAUAAAGAGAAAGAAAAAGGGAAGAAAAGAAAGGUUAGAGAAAGAGUUGGGCACGGGGAUAAUUUUCCCGGACUCGCAAAAAUGCGCUUGUACCAAGAAAAAUGGAGUGGGCAAGAUUGCAAGAAUUAAAUUCAAAGUCAUUUGAAUUUAAUUCAAAUGAUCUGAACAAGGACUAGGAUUUAGAAGUGUCCAAAAAUGUUCGGAUUUUUGGUGGAGCUCCGAAAAAUGACGAAAGAAAUUAUGGCAAGGUUGGAGACCAAGGAUUGAGAUAACAAAGGCAUUGGGAUAUUUUGUAAGUGUGUUUGCGGUAAAUCCAAAUAAUUCGAAUAUUUACUAUAGCUCUCUAAAUAUUGAGAGGAUAUGUUUUAAAGAGAAUCACCAUGUAAAUUCCCUCGAUUUAAAUAGAUCAAAAGAUCUAUGCAUUUUAUUUAGUUGAGUUUUUUUAAAAAAAUGACAUGAUGGCAUGAUGCAAUGCAAAUGAUGCAACAAACAAAACAAAUCACACGACGAAACUCGGAGUAGCUGGAAGUCUUCUGGAGCGUCGGUCUCGGGGCGUUACAACACUCCACCACUACGAGAGGAUCUCGUCCCGAGAUCUAGAAUGGCACCGGAGGGAAACGGAAGAGGAAGAGAAGAGGUAAAACUAAGUUGCUUCUUCGACCAAUGAGUGAAACCAAAGAACCUUGAGAGGUUGAGCAAUUUAAAAGAAAGAGCACAACUGAGAAGAACGAGAUUGCAAACAAUCCGUUAGAAAAAAAAAAGGAACAAGGAACAUUACGAGAACUUGAAGGUUGCAAAGACAUGAAUCAAGAGUUUAAUGGACAAGAUAGAAUUCGAAACCACUCCAGUUAAAACAAGAUGAGAGAGAAAGAAUUUGGGCAGCACUCCGGUUGAAGAUGGAAGGAAAAGAACAUGAAUUUGGCAAAAUGAAAGCACUUGGAUGAGACUCCGGUUAAAUGGAUAAGCAAGGAAAAGAACACGAUCCUCACAAUUCGAGAUGAUGAGUGAAAAGCACAACAUCACAAUGCCUCCGGAACGAAAGAAUAGAAGUUAGAUUGUUGGGAUAAAGGGACGGAGAAGGAAAUGUCAACUCCUACCACAAUUUAAUUUGGAAAGCAUCCUUGCAGGAAGGUUAGAACAAAGUUGUUGGAAGACCAACAACGAAAAGAAUAAGUUUGUAGUGGGCUUAUGGAACACAUCUCAAAACUAUGAGGUGAAAUUCUGCCACUAAUGGAAACGAUAUAUUAGAUUGAUAACAACAAGGAGAUGAGAAGCUUAAUUCGCCGGGAGGAUAGAAGAAUAACUUGGGUCAUUUAUUACCAACAUAGAUAGCAACAAGCCAUAGGGAAGGCUUUUAGGUGAAAUAUGACACAAGAUAACUCCAACAACGAGGUUGAUGGAUUUAAAAAUAACUCAUUCUUAACAACAUGUGAAUCAUGGAAAACAUGAACUCAAAUUAUCAAGAAUGACAUAAUACCACCUCCAAAAUAUGGUAGAAAGAAUUGCACUCAGGAUUACCAUAUGAAGAAAGCUUGAGCUCCUUAGGAAAGAAUCUCGAUGAAAACUUUGAGAAGGGAAUUAAAUCCUUGAUGAACCAUCAUGUAGAACCUCCAUGAAGAACUCCGGUAAACAAAAGGAAUGAAAAGAAAGAGAAAUUGAAAACACAAGGUGAAUCCUUGCAAUGAUUUAGAUGGAUCUCCGUGAUAAUUAAAGCUUGGAACUCCGGGAAAAAGAGAAGAUGAAACAAAUGAAACCGAGAAUUUUAAGGGCCUCCGGAAUAAAGAAUUAAUCACUUGGAUGAACAAGAAUAAGAAUUAUGUUAUGCUUAUCCUUCACCAAUUAAAUUGAUGACAAUCAACGGAUUUGGCAUACUACUUAUUCUCGUAGAAAGGAUUAAAAGAGAUAUAGCGUAAACUUGAGAAGGUCUUCAACGAACCACCGGUAGAAUUGGAACAACAAAUGAAUUGAUAUGAUGAACAAGGAAGAGAGAUCUUGAAAGAACCACCGUAAGAAUUGAAAAUGAUCGAAGUAGUGGUGCAUCACCGAUAAGAAUUAGCAAAUGAACGAAGGUGCUUGAGACAAACUAGAUACAUGAGAACAAAGAGAUCAAGAACUGAUUAGAGGAUAUUCGAUAGAUGCACCGGCAAGAUAGGAGAAUGACAACUGACGGCUGAGAAUGAAUAAACCUGAAUUGAUGGACUCCGGAUGACAAACUGAGAAGACUCUUGAAUAUCUCCUGAUGGGUGAAAAAAAAGAUUCUCACAAUCGAAAACAAUUAUGAGAGGAUGGCAACAAGCUAGCACCAUGAAUCUUGAAGAGAAUAGAGCAAGAUUAAAGAGAAACUCUUCUUCGGUCUUCAAAUGAUGAGAAUGACAACGAGAAACACCACCAAGAAUUAUUGAGGCACACCGGAAUAAAGAAUGGAAAAGUUGAGCCAACGAUGAUAAGAAUUUGAAAGAUCUUGGAGAAAAACAUUUGACUGAUGACAACUCAUUCUUACGUCAAACUUGGAGAAGAAUUUAGGAUAGCUCUGGGAAAAUAGAAGAGUCAGGUAAGAUCCUGGGAAAAGACCUGUGGGUUAGGGCCCACUCAAAAGAAGCACCGAUGAAAAGAUUUAAAAGAGAUGUUGCACCGGUUGAAUUAAAUGACUUGAAUGAGAUACCAAUCUCGAAAGAGCUUGAACUAAUGCAGAGUGGAAACACAAAUCUUCGAGAUAUCUUGAGUACUCCGGAACAAUUUAAUAGCGAGAGAUGGAUGAUUAAGAGGUGCACCGGCAUAAGAAAAGCAUUGGAAAAAAAAGAAAAGGAGUAUGCUUAAUACCAAAGCUUGAAUUAAAUCCACCGGAGAAGAAAAGAACGAGGAAUGAUGAACUUGAAGCUCCAUUAGAAUCUUCAUGAGAAUCACCGGAUAAGAACAUUGACGGAAAAGAAUGGAUAAACUUCCCAUCAAUAAAAUGGAUACUUGAAUAAGAAUAUGGGUCCUUGGAGAAAAACAAAGGGAGGGGGGGUGGGAAAAACAAAGGCAACUUGGAGAUGGAUGACACAAACAGCGUUGAGAAGAAGUGAUAAAUGAUCUUGCAAAAGUUGACGUGAACGGAUCCACUUGAGGAGAGACACACCGGUUAAAAAAAAGGAUUGACAAGACAGACUCGAUGAUCAAGAAGGAUUAGUAUUCACAUAGGAAUAUGAGAACACCAUUUGGAAAAGGUAUGGAAUCAACAUUUGACUUCGAAGCAACUCGAAUACCACAACUCAAAACAAAACAAAGGAUUGGCUUGCAAAAUAACAAACAUAUGAUAGAGAUUUCGUCCGAAGUUUUCGUGGUGGGGCCUACAUGGGCUCGAUCGUACAGCACCAUCAUGUACAAGGCAGUGCACAUGACAUACGAAGCGUCCCCGAGUCGGCAUAGCCAAGGACUCUUUAAGACACAACGAGACCACUGUAAAACCAAUCGUGAAUAGGCGGACCACUAGACGUCGAACCCCAAUUUCAUAUCAUACAUCCGUCAGAAAGAUAUCCUAAGAGCUACUUGAAUUCCCACCUAUGAAACUCCCGAAAUUUUCAGGUUAUGCAAUCAGGUGUUGGGGAUACAGGGGAAGCAUAAUAUCUCACCCAAAACUAACAAAUCCUACAUCCAGCUGUAUCCAUCCUUCAACACAUAACCAAGAAACCUUCGGAAAUCAUCUACCUCAACCUUCGAAAAGCAUCCGUUAUACAAGUCAUGGCAAUACUCCCGUACUCACCUCAGUACUGGGUUAUCGGGGUUAUCCCACCAACAACUGCAUAAAAGAGAUUUUCGAUGUCGGCGUACUAAACUCAGGUAUUCCAGAACUGCAACGAUAAAAUUAUGACGACAACACCUCAGAGCUCAACUCCCCGGGACACUUCCACUAAACCCCUGACAGGAGGCACCAAGACAAUGUUCUCAUCAUAAAACCAUCGGAACGAUUCCAAGAUACCCGCGUGAUCCUAAAAAAAAAUUUAGUGAAAUUUGAGAAGAGAAGAGUCAAAACUCUACGUCAGGAUGCCUUACCAGAGCGAUGAGGAGACUGGGAAGUAAAAAGAAUUCCUAAACUCUCCGAUAUAUAAUUCCUAAAUGACUCAAAACAUUUUUCUAGACACAACUCGGCCGCUAAAAACGAUCAAGCAGUGGGGCUCCUAAGGUCGGGGAAGGCUCUGAUACCAACUUGUAACGCCCUCGAUGCGGCUAUAUCUCCCACGUGUCGAAGCACGACUUAGAGGCAUAACCGCAUUGAAAGCAAUGUCGCAAGUGAGGUAAUCUUCACACAACCCAUGUAAUACAUAAGGGAAAGAGAUACAUAGUUGGCUUACAAUCGCCACUUCACACAAUUACAUGAAUAAACCAUUACAUCAUCCAGAUACAAUCAAGGUCCGACUACGGAACCAAAAUAAAAGAAGAACCCCAAAUGCGACAAAGGUCCCUGAUCGACCCCAACUGGGCUCCACUACUGAUCAACUAGAACGAAACAACACAAAGGGCAAGAUCUUCAUCGAGCUCCUCCUUGAGCUUGGUUGCGUCAUCUGCACGGUAACAUAGGCACCUGCAAACUGGUUUUGGAAGUAUCUGUGAGCCACGGGGACUCAGCAAUCUCGCACCCGCGAGAUCAAGACUAUUUAAGCUUAUGGGUAAGGUAAAGGUAUGAGGUGGAGCUGCAGCAAGCGACUAGCAUAUAUGGUGGCUAACAUACGCAAAUGAGAGCGAGAAGAGAAGGCAAAGCACGGUCGAUAAAAGUAUGAUCAAGAAGUGAUCCUGAAACUACUUACGUCAAACAUAACUCCAACAACUGUGUUCACUUCCCGGACUCCGCCGGAAAGAGACCAUCACGGUUACACACGCGGUUGAUGUAUUUUAAUUAAGGUCAACUUCGGGUUUUCUACAACCGGACGUUAACAAAUUCCCAUCUGCCCAUAACCGCGGGCACGGCUUUCGAAAGUUCAAAUCCCUGCAGGGGUGUCCCAACUUAGCCCAUGACAAGCUCUCACGGUCAACGAAGGAAUAGACCUCCACCCGAGACGUUCCGAUCAGACUCGGUAUCCCGGUACAACAAGACAUUUUGACAGGGUAAAACUAAACCAGCAACACCGCCCGAAUGUGCCGACAAAUCCCGAUAGGAGCUGCACAUAUCUCUUUCUCAGGGCACACUCAGAUUGUCCAAGGUACGGGUAGGCCAACCCAGAGUUGCCCCUGGUGGCCACCGGCAGCUGACAGGUUGGACCAACACUCAGAGGAGCACUGGCCCGGGGGGGGGGGGGUAAAAUAAGAUGACCCUUGAGUCUGCAGAACCCAAGGGAAAGAAAAGGCUAGGUGGCAACUGGUAAAACCAAGGUUGGGCAUUGCUGGAAGAGCUUUACUUAAGGCGAACUGUCAAGGGGUUCCCAUUAUAGCCCAACCGCGUAAGGGACGCAAAAUCCGGGAACAUAACACCGAUAUGACGGAAACUAGGGCGGCAAGAGUGGAACAAAACACCAGGCAUAAGGCCGAGCCUUCCACCCUUUACCAAGUAUAUAGAUGCAUUAAUUAAAUAAGAUAUAUUGUGAUAUCCCAACAAGUAAACAUGUUCCAACAAGGAACAACAUCUCCAUGUUCCAACAAGGAACAAACUUCAAUCUUCACCUGCAACUAACAACGCUAUAAGAGGGGCUGAGCAAAGCGGUAACAUAGCCAAUCAACGGUUUGCUAGGACAUGGUGGGUUAGAGGUUUGACAUGGCAAUUUGGGAGGCUGACAAGCAAAUGGUAGGCAUCGUAGCAUUGACAUAGCAAAAGAGCGAGCAAACUAGCAUAGCAAAGAUAGUAGUAAUUUCGAGGGUAUGAUCAUCUUGCCUGAAAUCCCGCAAGGAAGAAGAACGAGUCCAAGAAGAAGACAAUCGGACGAAGUCGAACGAAUCCUCACAACUCCGGAACGAAACCGAAGCUAACGAGAGAAGCAACCCGGAAAGAAACAAACAACAUAGUAAACAAACAAGCAUAAACAAGUCAUGAUGCACAAACAAGUAUGAUGCAUGUCCGGUUUAAUGAGGCAUGGCAUGGCAAAGUGCACAAACAAUCCUACAAAUUAAAUGGAGCUCAAUAUGCAACUGCAUAUUGACGAAACACCACGAUAAGUUAUUUAGUUUGAUCCCGUUUAUGUACCCAUCAAUAUUAAAUGUUGUUAAACAUGGCAAGAGGUGAAGCAUAAUAUAAACUAUACCAUCUAAACAAUUUAAAUGGGGCCGGAUAUAAAAAAACAACAAAUCCGGUAAAUCCCCAUAUGCAUUUAGCAAUUUAAUGCAACAACAAGUUUAAACAUUUUAAAUGUUGUUAUCAUGAUGCGGAUGACAUAUACAAGUUUUAAGCAAUUUUAUGAAAAUGUUGACAUGAGCAAGAUACGAGGCAUUUGGUCACCAUGGCGGAAUGAAAAGGGUGCCACGGCGGCGAGACAAAAAUGGUGCCACGGCAACAUUCCGGUCCCGGUAACUCAUGGAGAUACCGGUGCAAAAGGAAGUGAGCGGAUGCGUGUCGUGCAAGGAUGGUGGGGUGAUCCCGACUACCGGGUGUCCCACCGGAUAGUGGCAUGGAAACGAGGAACGUGCACGAAACAAACGGGCACGGUGCAAACAUAUCGUACAUCUCAUACAACACACGCAUUCGAUCACGAUCGGUCAUCUCAGGGUUAUACCUUCGAAGCGUGCAUUCGGGGCGGAACGCGUUCGGUACGAUGUAGAGGAAGUAGACGUUCUCGUAGCGGUCGUAGAGGAAGUAGUUGUUCACGUGUCGUCGUGGGAAGUAGUCAUACACAUGCCGUAGUGGAAGUAGUGGUUCACGGCGACGGUAGUGGUAGCAGUUGUUCAUGUCCCGUAGAUGAAUCGGGGUCCACGGGGUCUUCGAGGGUCGACGGUAGUCGUACUCGGCAACCAUAGUUGGACUUGUAGGGCCGACGAUGUCGUGGUACUUGGUGCAAUGCACGGGAUGGUAGUCCAACAAUUGUCGGAGAGGGACUUGACGCAUCAAAAGUCUUUGGUGCCACGGUACUUAGCGAUUCCAGGAUGUCGUAGCCGUGUAGUCGUUCAUGUAUCACCGUGGUGUAGUCGUACUUGGCGUCCGCAGCAACAUAUCCAUGAUGGCCAAACAAACCAAUAGCGACCGAAGCAGCAGGGUGCGAUUGGGUGGUUUGGUUAACGCGCAGGGGCAGCGUGUGUUCGAUCUCCGCCUGAACAAAAACGGCGUGGAGGCAGGAGGGCAACGGCAGCGCCGCAAGCUCUGAUGAUGCAGCACGACGGGGAGGCGCAGGGACGGCUGGGGUGGACGGAUCGGCCUCGGGACGCCGGAUCCUGGCUGGUGGCGAAACUCCAUGGCGGCAGACGAACUCCUCUGCAACUGCGGCUGAUGACGACGCAGAGGAGAGCUUGGGGUUGGGGACGAGCUAGCAGGCCGGUGGCGAGGUCGCCGGCAGCAGAGGCUGUGACGCGGCCGGGCUCGGGCGCUGCGUGCGUGGUGGAGCAGAGGGGGACGCGGGGCUGCUGAGAAGCAGAGGCCAGCGGCGGCGUCAGGUAGACGAGGAGGCGGGGACGAGGGCCGAUGAGGGCGCGCGACGGAGCUCAGCGGGCGUGCUCCGAUGGAGGUACUUGAACGGGGCGGCGGAGCAUGGGCAGGGGCCGACCGGAUCUGGAGCUUGAGGCGGCGGCGCUGGAGGUCCGGCCGACGCCACGAACAAAGCGGCGGCUGCUAGCGAUGGGGUCGAGCGAGGGAGAAGGUGGCGCGAGGGAGGAGAUGGGGAUCGGGACGAGGAGCGAUGGGGCGCAGAGGUGGGAGAUGGAGGCGCUGCGGGAGGGAGAUGGGAUCGGGAGAAGGGUGCGGCUAGGGUUAGAAGGCAGGGGCCGGCUGGGCCUUGGGAUGCGGAUGGAGCAGGCUUGGCCUGGCUGCUGGGCUGCAGGGCUCCUUCUCUCUCUCUAUCUCUAAUUCUCUUAUCAAAACAGAAAAUAAAGAGAAAGAAAAAGGGAAGAAAAGAAAGGUUAGAGAAAGAGUUGGGCACGGGGAUAAUUUUCCCGGACUCGCAAAAAUGCGCUUGUACCAAGAAAAAUGGAGUGGGCAAGAUUGCAAGAAUUAAAUUCAAAGUCAUUUGAAUUUAAUUCAAAUGAUCUGAACAAGGACUUGGAUUUAGAAGUGUCCAAAAAUGUUCGGAUUUUUGGUGGAGCUCCGAAAAAUGACGAAAGAAAUUAUGGCAAGGUUGGAGACCAAGGAUUGAGAUAACAAAGGCAUUGGGAUAUUUUGUAAGUGUGUUUGCGGUAAAUCCAAAUAAUUGGAAUAUUUACUAUAGCUCUCUAAAUAUUGAGAGGAUAUGUUUUAAAGAGAAUCACCAUGUGAAUUCCCUCGAUUUAAAUAGAUCAAAAGAUCUAUGCAUUUUAUUUAGUUGAGUUUUUUAAAAAAAAUGACAUGAUGGCAUGAUGCAAUGCAAAUGAUGCAACAAACAAAACAAAUCACACGACGAAACUCGGAGUAGCUGGAAGUCUUCUGGAGCGUCGGUCUCGGGGCGUUACAUCCAUGAUAUUGUUGCUCAAAUUCAUGGCAAGUAUUUGCAGGGAAAGAAACAACAAGAGAAAGUGCAAACUGAGAAUUCAUUGAAAGAUCCUCCUGUACGGUCAUCAAAGUCUAUCAACAAAGUGCAAACUGAUGAUUCAUUGAAAGAUCCUCCUGUGCGGUCAUCAAAGUCUGUCAACAAAGGAGAAAGAUUGAAACCACAAUCUAAAAAGAAAUCUAGGAAGAAAUCUACUAUAAAGAAGAAGACUAGUUGAAGAUUCACACUGUAAAUGAAUCAUUUUUGGUCCUGCAAAAAGGGAGACAAAAAUAAAACUGUUUCAAUCAUUUUAGAUGAAUUAUGAUUGUUGUGCGCAUGAAGAGAAUGAUAAUUUACACUUGUUAUAAUUAAAUUUGAGCUUGAACUAUUUGUUUUUGUUUGUGCUAAGAACAAGAGUGGAAGUAGAUUUCUUAUUUGUUAUCUACCUUGCACUCAGUACCUAGCUGUGGCGAAAAAAUGAUUCAGUGUUACAUAUACUGUCAUAUGCACAUGGAAGCAAAACAUGUACAGUUUAGCUAUAGUAUAGAGUUUCUAGCCAUUUUAGGAAUUUUAGCGUAAUGUUCCCUACACACAAAAAAUGUUGCAUGGAGAUAAUGGUCUCUAAAUAAUAUUCUUUGGUGGUUGUUCGUAAAUAAUUGUUCAUCCCGAUAAUGUUGCAAACAUAAUGUUUCCUGAAUAAUGUUUAGUUGAAAAAGUUUCUUUAAUAAUUCUUGCACUCAGUAGCUAGCUGUGGUGGAAAAAAUGAUUCGGUGUUACAUAUCUUGUUAUAUGCACAUGCAUGCCUUAAUCACAAUAAUUGUUCAUCCCAAAUAAUGUUGCAAGCAUAAUGUUCCCUGGACAUUGUUUAGUUGAAAA
rnacentral:lncRNA from 1 species